CUGCCGUCCUGCUGAAGUUGCUCAGGAACACAGAGUCUUCAGAGACUCAGGACUGAUGAGUAAGGACAGAAUAAUACUAGCCUGGCAAGAAGACCCCAGACUACCCUAGAACAGAGAUGGCAGCCCUUCUCCUGAUCGUUCCUGGGUUGUGCCACUGAGGGAGAGAGGGUGAAGACACACAGAGCCAUCAGGGUAGGCGGAGACCCUGAGGCCCCUCUGCCAGGACGAGUUAACAGCAGCAGGCAUUACCUUUCUUCCCAGGAUUUGGUUAAUGGCUGCACUUUCCUUCAGGGAAGCAGAGGCAGAUGGAUUUCUGAGUUCGAGGCCAGCCUGGUCUACAGAGUGAGUUCCAGGACAGCCAGGACUACACAGAGAAAUCCUGUCUCGAAAAACCAAAACAAACAAACAACAACAACAACAACAACAACCCCCCCCAAAACAAACAAAAAAGGAUCAAGGAACCCCACCAUCCUGCCUAACCUAUAGGUGACUGGUUAGCUUAUGGCCAGAAGUGGCAGUCACUAAUAUCCCUGGACUGUGACAUCAUGUUGGCAGCCCCGGCCUGAGGACUCACCUGGACAUUGAAGCGUUCAUGGCGAGGGCAGGCUGUCCCCAGGAGCUUGAUGAGCACGGCAAAGGCUGAGGCUACCGUCAGGAAUGCACAGCCUCAAGUGGACAACCUCAGUACAAGACGUAGGAGCCACACGGGCUUGCUCAGCAAGGAAUGCCAUCCGAAACAGAGCCAAGUCCUUCCAGCAAUGCCCCAUCCGAAACAGCCAAAUCCUUCCAGCAAGCUACAUAGGUCGAGCACCUUCUCAGCCCAGGAUUGCUCAGGUGUUCAUGCACACCAGAAGAGGGAAUCAGAUUCCAUUAUGGAUGGUUGUGAGCCACCUUGUGGCUGCUGUGAAUUCAACUCAGAAGAGCAGCCAGCUUCUUAACUGCAGAGCCAUCUCUCCCUUAACCUGAUCAGAAACCAGCUGCAUGGGAUUGAUCGCUCAGGAGAGUAGACCCUUCCCUUCUGCUGUCAAUCACGAUGGAGUCCUGGACUUGACAAUGGCUGCCCAGGAAAUCACCCAACAUUUCAGUAGACAACUAACAACGCUAUUCAGAAU
ensembl:antisense Gm15401 predicted gene 15401